UACGUAGAGGGCAAGCGUUAUCCGGAUUUACUGGGUGUAAAGGGAGCGUAGACGGCUGUGCAAGUCUGAAGUGAAAGGCAUGGGCUCAACCUGUGGACUGCUUUGGAAACUGUGCAGCUAGAGUGUCGGAGAGGUAAGUGGAAUUCCUAGUGUAGCGGUGAAAUGCGUAGAUAUUAGGAGGAACACCAGUGGCGAAGGCGGCUUACUGGACGAUGACUGACGUUGAGGCUCGAAAGCGUGGGGAGCAAACAGG
rnacentral:rRNA from 1 species